ACCCGCUGCCUUUGAACUCCCCCCCGAGCCUUGUGGUGCUGGAGGUUAAGCUGCAGAGCCAUAGCAUGUUGCUCAUGUAUAACUGGGCCUGCCUGUCCAUCACAGGUGGUCCUUUUAACCACCAACUACAGGG
ensembl:snoRNA